rnacentral:rRNA from 1 species
CAGUAGCCGCGGUAAUACAGAGGUCCCGAGCGUUGUUCGGAUUCACUGGGCGUAAAGGGUGUGUAGGAGGCUGGAUAAGUCAGGUGUGAAAUCCCGCAGCUCAACUGCGGAACUGCAUUCGAUACUGUUCAACUAGAGGAUCGGAGGGGGAAGCGGAAUUCUUGGUGUAGCGGUGAAAUGCGUAGAUAUCAAGAGGAACACCGGUGGCGAAGGCGGCUUCCUGGAAGAUACCUGACUCUGAAACACGAAAGCCAGGGGAGCGAAUGGGAUUAGAUACCCCAGUAGUCCCUGUCUCUUAUAC